rnacentral:rRNA from 1 species
AUGCCUUCCCUUGGCUUGGCUCUUAUGCUGCUGGCCUCUUUGAUCUCUCCGGCGAGCUCCUGCACGGAGCAGGAGAAGAUCUCCCUUCUCCGGCUCCUCGCCGGGCUCUCGUGGAACGGUGGCCUCGCGACGUCGUGGCGGAGCAACACCGACUGCUGCACAUGGCAAGGGAUCACCUGCAACCAAGAUAGGAAGGUCACCGAUGUUUCGCUGGAUUCUCGAGGCCUCGAGGGGUCUAUCUCGCCAUCCCUCGGCAACCUCACCGAGCUCUUGCGCCUCAACCUGUCGCGCAACUCUUUGUCCGGCGCCUUGCCGCUGGAGUUGGUGUCAUCCAGCAGCAUAAUCGUCCUUGACGUCAGCUUCAACCGCCUGACAGGGGCGCUGCAUGAGCUGCCAUCUUCAACCCCUGUGCGGCCUCUGCAAGUACUCAACAUCUCAAGCAACUUAUUUACAGGCCAGUUUCCGUCCACCACAUGGAAAGCAAUGGAGAAUUUGGUCGCACUCAAUGCCAGUAACAACAGCUUUACUGGACAGAUACCAUCGACGCCAUGUGCGAGCGCGCCAUCUUUGGCCGUGCUUGAACUCAGUUUUAACAAAUUCAGUGGAAAUAUCCCUCCAGGACUUGGUAAUUGCUCCGUGCUGAAGAUGCUCAGCACUGGCUACAACAACCUCUGUGGGACUCUUCCAGGCGAGCUCUUCAAUGUUACCACGUUAGAGCACCUCUCUUUGCCUAACAAUUGGUUAGACGGAGGUGUCAAUGGCAUCGGCAAGCUCACAAAUCUGGUCACCCUUGAUCUUGGGCAGAAUGGUUUCAGUGGCAACAUUCCAGAGUCUAUAGGUGAUCUGGAGAGAUUGGAGGAGCUGCAUUUGGAACACAACAAUAUGUCAGGGGAGCUGCCAACAGCUCUAAGCAACUGCACAAAUCUCGUAACAAUUGACCUCAACACCAACCGCUUCAGUGGAGAACUCAACAAGGUCAAGUUCGCGAGCCUGUCCAACCUAAGAAAAUUAGAUCUUCUUUUCAACGACUUCACCGGCACAAUUCCAGAAAGCAUAUACUCCUGCACCAAUCUGACUGCACUGCGACUAUCUUACAAUCAAUUCCAUGGUCAAUUGUCAGAGAAAAUAAGCAAUCUGAAGUACCUCUCAUUCCUAUCACUUUCUAAUAACUCGCUUACAAAUAUCACAAGGACACUUCAGAUCCUUAGUAGUUCCAAGAGCCUCACUACCCUUUAUAUUGGAUGCAACUUCCUGGAUGAGACCAUGCCACAGGAUGACAGCAUUGAUGGUUUUGAGAACCUUCAGGUUCUUUCCAUGAGUGAGUGUUCAUUGUCUGGAAAAAUACCUGAUUGGUUAUCAAAACUCACAAAUUUGGGGAUGCUAUUUUUGCAAAGCAAUCAACUAACUGGACCGGUACCUGACUGGAUCAGCAGCCUGAACUUGCUCUUCUAUCUAGACAUAUCAAACAACAGCUUUACAGGGGAUAUUCCAGCUGCCUUAAUGGAGAUGCCAAUGCUGAGAUCAGACAAGACUCCACCAAAGGUCUUCUUUGAGCUGCUUGUUUGGAACGAGAACACAUUUAUGCAGUACCUCAUGCUCAGUGCUUUUCCUAAGGUGCUUAAUCUAGCCAUCAAUAAUUUCACUGGUGUGAUCCCAGAGGAGAUCGGACAGUUAAAAGGACUCAUUUCACUGAACUUGAGCUCUAAUGGAUUUUCCGGAGGGAUACCAGAACAGAUCUGCAACCUCACGAACCUCCAGGUGCUUGACUUGUCUGGUAAUCAACUCACUGGUACAAUUCCAGCUGCACUGAAAAAUCUGCAUUUCCUUUCCAGAUUCAAUGUUUCUAAUAAUGACCUGGAAGGCCCUAUUCCAAACGUCGGCCAGUUUAGCACAUUUCCGGAUUCUAGCUUUGGUGGAAACCCAAAACUGUGUAGCCCUAUGAUCACAAACCAAUGUGGUUCAGCAGAAGCAGGUCCGGUCUCCACAAAACACAUUGGUAAUGAGGUUAUCUUUGCAAUCGCCUUUGGUAUUUUCUUUGGUGUAGGAGUCCUAUAUGACCAGAUAGUCUUAGCCAGAUAUUUUGGCUAA